GUAGGUGGCAAGCGUUGUCCGGAAUUAUUGGGCGUAAAGCGCGCGCAGGCGGGCCUUUAAGUCUGAUGUGAAAGCCCACGGGCUCAACCGUGGAGGGUCAUUGGAAACUGGGGGACUUGAGUACAGAAGAGGAAAGCGGAAUUCCAAGCGUAGCGGUGAAAUGCGUAGAGAUUUGGAGGAACACCAGUGGCGAAGGCGGCUUUCUGGUCUGUAACUGACGCUGAGGCGCGAAAGCGUGGGGAGCAAACAGGAUUAGAUACCCUGGUAGUCCACGCCGUAAACGAUGAGUGCUAAGUGUUAGGGGGUUUCCGCCCCUUAGUGCUGCAGCUAACGCAUUAAGCACUCCGCCGUGGGGAGUACGGCCGCAAAGGCUG
rnacentral:rRNA from 1 species